rnacentral:rRNA from 1 species
UUUUUUAAUUGGAAACUUGUAUGAAGGGUUGAACGAAGUAUAGGCUGUUUCUUAAAAAAUAAAUUAAAACUUUACUUUUUAGUUAAAAGGCUAAAAUAACAUUAAAGGACGAGAAGACCCUAUAGAGUUUUACAAUAAUUUAUUUAUUUUAUUAAAGAAUUUUUAAGAAUUAAUUUGAUUUAUUGUUUUAUUGGGGUGAUAAUAAAAUUUAAUAAACUUUUAUAUGAUUUUUACAUUAAUAAAUGAAUAUUUGAUCCAAUAAUAUUGAUUAAAAAUUUAAAUUACCUUAGGGAUAACAGCGUAAUAUUUUUUUAGAGUUCUUAUCGAUAAAAAUUUUUGC